rnacentral:lncRNA from 1 species
GAUUACUUUAAGAACCAAUUUGAAAUUCUAGUUGAACUUCAAUGACAAUAGGCAAUAUGGGACAUUUUGGGAUGAAGCAACGAGGAUAAACGAAGUUCAAGAACUGAAAAUCGGAAUUAGAUAUGCCAAAAAGGGCCCAAAUAUUCUCAUUAAUUAUGCGAAGAUCACUACAUGAAUUUACAGAAGAUGACCUCUCAAUUCCAGAAUCUACGAUUAAGCGAAAGAGAAAGCGGGUAACGAAAAAUUACAUAAUAAAGUUAUUGGGAUCUGAAACUCUCUUCUUCUAGUUCUUGUACGGCGGCCUGUAAUUGAUCCGGCUGACCGGCGACGUAGUCCAACAAUCCUUCGCCAGCUUUCUUGUCGGAGGUCGAUGCCGGCGGCGGAGAAAUCCGUCCAAAAACUAAAACAGCAACGAGAAAGAGCGCCGUCGAGACAAGAAGAGGCCAAAAGUACUUAAUAACAUCGAGAAAUCUAGGAGCAAUAUAGAGGAUAAAAAGGAUGGAUGUGCAUAAAGAAAUGGCGGAAAGGAUAUGGAAUUUGAAUUUGAGAAGCUUUUCUAGGAUUUCCACGGCAGAUUUAGGAGGCCUUGGGGAGAAAUCGUUAUUGGUUUUUGUAAAAGGAGAAAGGGUUGGGGUGAGGGUGAGAGAGGUGAUGACUCUGUUCAGAGAUUCUCUGCCGGAAGACGAAGACCUUUGUCUCGAAGACAGUAAAAAGUUUAGAGUCAAUCUGUUUGUUUCACUUUAUUUUGCGGGAUUCUGAUUCCCAAAUUACCCUUUAGAUUUUACUUAUGUAUGAACACAAUAAAAAGUUUUUACCGGUUUAAUUAUUUAGGGAAUGUUCAGUAUUGAUUAUAAAAAUUGAUUUUUUAAUCGUUAAAGAGAAAAAU